rnacentral:tRNA from 1 species
AAGUAAGAAGCAAAUCUUUGCAACUAGUUUCGACCUAGAAGUUUGACUGUUAGUCCUUACCUA